ensembl:lncRNA
GCGCACGGGGGGCGGGGCGCGCUCUAUAAAGGGGGGCGCUGCAGGCCGCGGGGGCCACUCGAAGCCGGCGGGGUCUGCGCUACCUCUUUGCGGUCCCGGGCACACCGUGCGCUUACCACCAGCAUCCUACAGUCCUUGGGGACCAGUCCAGGAUCGGAUUUCCAAGCUUGCUACCCUACGCGCACCUCGGCCAUCUCCCGGCUCCGAGGGCGAUUGGGUAGCCGAGCGUUGGGGGCGCAUCUCGGCCAGCUGCACCUUGGCCUGAAGGCAGGAUGCAAGGAGCGAGGGCAGGCGGCGAGACCCCUUGGGUCCAGAGCUGGCCGAGCUGGACGAGCUGGCGGGGCUCCCAGCGUCUCCGCAGUCCCGGUCGGGCGUGCCCUGCGCUGUGCACCAACCGGAGCCACAUUCAAGGUGAAUCAUCCCCGGCCCGCCCCCUGCCCCUCCCCCGCCUCUCGGCACCUGAGCCAAUGGCGUGGCGCAGGGGGCGGGCGGGGCUCAGGGGGCCGUGAACCUCCCAGAGUCAUUAUCCCUGCACUCGGUGUAGCCCCUGCACCUCUGUGCUGGAGCCCGUGAGCCUCUCUCAGGCCGCGCCGUCCAGGGCACCCUGCGCACGGUUUUCCCGGGCUCCGGGGUCCCCUUGCCUCUCUUACCCUACCCCGCCAGGCCCGCGGAGGCUGCUCCUCCUCAGGUGGCCCGGCCGGGGCCUUCCCCCCGCAGACCUGUCACCCGACACCCAGGAAGCGCGCGGCCCCAUCCCGGCUCCUCUUUGUUCCCCCGCCGGGCUCCGCGCUCGGGCGCCGCCUCCUCCAGCGUCGCGCUCUGGAGGUUCUGGGCGCCGCCUUCGGGGCGGCCCGGGAGCUCCUUGGGUUCCGUCCAUAGGCCCGCUCCGAACCAGGGUGUCCUUUUUGCCUUGUUUCUCCGAUGUGGACUCCUCUCGGAGCUAGGAGGCGGCGGCGAGCCCAGCCCGGAGCCGGCGCAGGUGAGUGUCCGGGGCGGGGCCAAGUGGGGCCAGCGGCGGGCCGGGAAAGGAAGGUGGACUCGGGCGCCCCGGGGCGAGCGGUGCUAGAUCCGAGUUGCGGGCAGGUGGCCGCGCAGGUCGGCCUUCGGGAAUGACGCGGCAGUGCGGCCUCCUGGCUCUUAGGCGCCUUCCAGCGGAGUCGCCCACGAGGCCCCGUGAUCCAGGGGUCCCCCAGCGGACCCUGCUGUGCGCCCAGGGCUGUGCCCUGCAGUUGGGGCGGCAGCGCGGCUUGAGUGCGGCUGGGGUUUAGCGAGGUGCUUAUCCACGGUGGCCCACGCACCUCCGUGGGGAAUCGAGCUGGGGUCGCGUCGGCGUUUCGCCGCCCUGGUGGGCUCGGAUGGAAGCGCAAGGCUGGGAGGAGGGCUGCAAACCGGCGCAGGGAGGGAGUUCCUG